AUUGAACGCUGGCGGCAUGCUUUACACAUGCAAGUCGAACGGUAACAGGGUGCUUGCACCGCUGACGAGUGGCGAACGGGUGAGUAAUGCGUCGGAACGUGCCGAGUAGUGGGGGAUAACGCAGCGAAAGUUGUGCUAAUACCGCAUACGUACUGAGGUAGAAAGUGGGGGACCUUCGGGCCUCACGCUAUUCGAGCGGCCGACGUCUGAUUAGCUAGUAGGUGAGGUAAAGGCUCACCUAGGCGACGAUCAGUAGCGGGUCUGAGGGGAUGAUCCGCCACACUGGGACUGAGACACGGCCCAGACUCCUACGGGAGGCAGCAGUGGGGAAUUUUGGACAAUGGGCGAAAGCCUGAUCCAGCCAUGCCGCGUGUCUGAAGAAGGCCUUCGGGUUGUAAAGGACUUUUGUCAGGGAGGAAAUUCCUAGUGCUAAUAACACUGGGGGAUGACAGUACCUGAAGAAUAAGCACCGGCUAACUACGUGCCAGCAGCCGCAGUAA
rnacentral:rRNA from 1 species